rnacentral:rRNA from 1 species
AGCAGUAGCCAUGCCACCUGCAGUUCAGACUAUGUAAUCCCCUCAAGCUAAGCAAGUUUGCACCUGGCUAAUACUUGGAUGGGAGGUCAACUGAGAAAGCUGGGUUGGUGCUA